rnacentral:lncRNA from 10 species
CACAGCGGGCCAGCCUAAAACGACCUUUUUAAAGCAAUUGAAAGUAUUCACUCAGUGAGACAAAGUAGUGAACAUAGAUGUGAUUCCAAUAAAUAAACCAGGGCACCUGCUGGUUCUCAAUACAUACUUGAGAUCCUAACAACUUGGAAGAAGAAACAAAAAUGUCUUCAAAGGAACAAGAAUUUGGCAUUUCAUUGACAACUCUGGAACACGGAAUACAACAAGACAUGUCUUCAGAAUUCUUAGAUGUAUUUUCAACUUUGAAUUCUAUACUGAAACUAUGAACCCUGAGGGCAGAAAAAGUAUUCAAGAACUCAGGAAGUAUCUCCAAAAACCCACACAGAAUAUUACUCAAAGAUCUGCUGGUGGCAGAUGAUGGCAUAAACCAAGAAAGAAGAAGCACUGAGUCCAAAAUGGUAGUGACAGAAAUGAGUGCAGCUGAUCUUGAGUGUGAUUAGCCAGGUUAAAGUAGGCCAAAGGAAAAUUCUGGAAAGAGAUAUCUAAGAGAGACGUGUCCAGGAAAAAGAGAACUUGAUGUAUAAAUAAUUUUAAAAACUGAAAAAAGUGAGGAAAACAAAUGCAAGUUAUGGGACAGAUAAAAGACUGGCAAUAAGUAAUUCCAGGGAGAGUACAACCCAGUGUACCAAUUGGUAAAUAAUAUUAAAUUAUAUAAUACAAACACUGCUUACAGAUGUUUCACUUUUAAAAUCAAUCCAUUGGCAGAUUUAAUAAUGGAUGCAGAAGAAUUAAAUGGCUUCGCAUUUAUUUUAACAAAGUGAAAGUAAGACUUUUGGAGGUAGAAGAAGGAGAGCUGGGGAAAGAUAUUUUCUCAUUUCAUAGAGAAAGGCUUCAGAACAUGCCCACGUGAUGGACAAUAUAUAAAGGUAAAUGUUUAUUAUUUAAAUAAUAAUGCUAUAUUAGGCAGUGUGAACUAAAUACUUACUAUAAUAAUAAUGUGAGUUACUAGUGUAAAAAUCAAGAAUAAAUAAAAAGUGAUAAAACAUAAUUUAGAAAUGUGAAUAUAAUCAUCAGAUAUAAAUAAUAAAUAAUUAAAAUAAUUAAAUAGAUUUCCUUUAGGUUGCAGGACUGCAAAUUGGGAAUGGUGAGGGUUUUUUUUCCCCUACAAAUCCUUUAUUAAUUGCAUUUUAUAUGUGUGAGUAUAUUAAAAAUUUAAAAACUAAAUUAAACAACAUAAGUAGUAAAAUAAUACAUAGCUUAUAGAAAUAAAAAUAAAAUUUUAAUGCCAAUUUAAUGUAAAAGUAGAAUUUCCAGGCAUUUCGAAGAUGCUUAUAGCUUCCUUUUUCUGUAUUCUCUUAUUAUCAAGUCUCCCUAGACAUAAUAUAGUUAAACAGUUUUCAUCUCUUUUCUCAAAGCUGGAUUCUUAGGAGCAAUUUGUACAAAAUGAUCCUGAGUAUCCCAGUCUUCUUAUGUAUGUUGUCUUUUUAAAGAUACAAUGCAGGUCAAUUCAGGCUUUUGAUUUACAACGCCCACUUCUCUGCUAGUUUGAGUUUCCAACUUAGUAGUACAGGACAACUGUCAGUUCCUAGAAAAUAUAAGCCUUACAUUUUGUUCUAAGGCCUGAAUUUUUCUCUUAACUAUUAAAAUUUAUUUUAAACAUAACAGCUUAGAGUAACUUAAAUUCAUGCUGUUAAACAUACACACACAGUCAAAAUCUGAUAAGGCACAUGUAUUUAAUUUCAGUGACUCUGACAUCUACUCUGUUCUUCAUGAAGAUGAUGAAUGGUACAUUAUAGCUCUUUUGUACAAAUAUUUGGUUUUGGUCCCCUUGAAAAUGACCUUAAAAUCACCUGGGGCUAUUGUUAAAAAUGCACACAUGCCCACUGCAUCCUCAGUCUUACUAAAUCAAGAAUAGCAAUCUCGAUGAGUAAUUCGAUUAGUGAUCUCGAUUAGUAAUUCCUGCAGAGCACAGGAAUCAAUUUCAAUGAAAAAUUUUCUCUGUGAUUUUUCAAUAUUUUUAAAUGUUUCCAAAUCUUUAGUGCCCCCUCUGCAAAGUCCGGACUUGUCUCUUAGUUUGAACUUUAGUAAAAUGUAAAGCUUAAGAACAGCAUUAGAAUUGUUCCCAUUCGUUCAAUUGAUCCACUCAACACAUAUAAUAUGCAUCUUCUAACUGUGGGCACUGUCCUGAGUCCUGGACACAUGAACUAACAAAAGAGCUCGCCUUAGGAGUGAGGCAGGGUCUUAGGCAUAUCAGAGAGGACAUUCAUGACUUAUGUUGGCAAGUUUAAUAUGACAUAUAAGUGAAUAUUAAUUUCUCCAUUGCACCCUUUGUGAGUUUCUGAGAAAAUAAAUAACAUAUAUAUGUGUGAAUUACAAAUACAAAUAUAUAUCCCUUGAAUGGCCUAGGGUAAACAGAUAAAAGUUGUUGUUUGUUAGAGUAAAAUCCUAACUGAACAAAUGGGGUAAUUUUAUAUGCAUUGUACAAUUCCAGAUCAACUCUGGUAAACCUCACCAGGAGUAAGGAUUUUUGUUGUUUAUGUGUAAGAUUGCCGAUACAUUUUAUUUUAUUUUGAUGACAAAGCAACUUGGUUUUGACUACUGAAUUGUUAAGUUUGCCUCUGCUAUUUUCAAUUCCUCUGUAAUUUAGGGAUUGUGAAUAUCAGUCAGAGAAAAACUGCAGUGGGACUUGAAGCCCUGAUGUGCUGUUCGGUCAGACUUUUUUUUUUCCUGAAUUUUAAAGAUAGAGUUUCUCUAUUGUAGGAAAACAUAUCUUAGUUAUUUUUUAUUUUAAAUACAUUCCUCUGGAGGAAGAACAAAAAGCAAAGCAAAGAAAAACAAAACAUAGCUUUUUCUAUGUUGUUUUAUACUUAAUAUCUAAAGCUCUUCAUGAAAGCAAGAAAUUUUGACCUUAAGACUAUUCCUGAAUAUAUGUAUUCUUGAAUAUAAUAUCAUAUAUAUUACACAUAUCUGUUAUGAAAGCCCAAAUAAACUGCACAUCUAUAUCUAUUCAUACUGCCACUUGAAUGAAAGCACAUUCAAGGUAAAAUGUUUCUUUGAAUAAAAAAGCUUGGCAAAUUCCAUUGACUUUCAAGUUCUUUUUUUCUUUUCUUUCUCACCUUAACUCUUAAAUAGCCAUUUGCUUUGGUGAUCAUUUUACAUUUAGCUCAGUAUUGUCCAUUUACUACCAGC